rnacentral:lncRNA from 1 species
UGGUUGGAUCCUGCGGAACAAUGCUUAGUCUAGACCUCAAAUCGUGCAGUCCAAUUGUAGAUAUGUUGAUUCUGUCGAUGAUAACUUCCCCGGCAGUAGGUUCAACGAGUCGGAAAAGUGUUUGUAUAAGAGUUGAUUUUCCACUACCUGUUCUACCAACAAUGCCAGUUUUCAAUCCUCCACGAAACGUGCAAUUCAGGCCACGCAACACAAGUGGAAGAUGUGGAGCAUAUCGAACCUUCAUCACGGACAGCAAAUCAUUACAAAUGGUGAAAUAGAGCACAGACUUCUCAUAAAAGAAAAUGCUACAAGGUAUUUGUAUCCAAAGCACAAUUUCAUUGACAACAAAUUUAUAGGAUCAACACUAACUCCAAUUAGUGGAAAGGCUAUAUAGACUAUUAUAGAGGUGUCAUGUAGGCAGAAUUCUAGCUUAAGAAUAAAUUUUCAACAAAGGGUGGAACGGUUACAUGAGAUUGAAACAUAGGCAGAAUUCAAGGUCAAAAAUAAGUAAUGUUUAUAAACGUACAUCUAUGUAUGACAAUUUUUCUGAAUGACAUAAAUGGAUCUCCAUUCAUAAAUAAAAUUCUAAAGAAAACACAAUGUAAUAAAGUUAUAUCAAUUAGAACAGUAACUUCAAGUUAGAAUAUGAAACAGGUUUGAACUCUACAUCUUAUUUUAAGAUUAAAUUAUUGCAUAUUAUGAACUCUAUAUGUGACGGAUAAACAAAUCAUAUUUUAAACGAUCUUUAUAGUUGAACUUUAUGUAUCAGUGGAUUCUCCUCUUAGUAUUUCCCCUGGUAUAUAAUAUGUAACCGAUGGUAACACAAGCUACAACCAUUAAACCAUGGAGAACCUGUGUAAGAGUGACAAGGUUUCUAGACUAGUGCAGACAAAUUUAUUUAUUUUAGGAAAAGUAGAGAUAAAAUAAAACAAAAAUAAUAAAUCACAAUAAAAUAUCCACAUCAAUCACCAAUUAUAUCACAUAUGCAGCAACUGAUUCUGAUUAAUUCUUUCAUGAGGCCUCAUUCUUCUUGUCCUCCUACUAUUAGGCUUUCCUCCAACCAUACUCACAAGCCAUUGAGGUUUUCCUAUUAACAACACAAAGCAUCCUAAUCCAACACCAAAUACCAUUCCACCUAUAGCUACUGGUUGCCAACAAAAUCCAAAUUUUUGUUCAUGCUCAUCAGAAUAUGUUGAAGGUGGAGAAAUUUUGUUGCAAUUUUUUGACAAUGGAAGUCCACACAAUCCAUAGUUUCCCACAUAGGAAUCAUUGGAAAAGGUAUCAAACUGCUCUCCUCUAGCUAUUGCUCCUUCAAGAUGGUUUUGAGAGAUAUUCAAAACUGCAAGAUAGUUUAAAUUGGUUAACUCUGUAGGAAUCCUACCAGUGAGCAUAUUUGAGGAGAGAUCCAUUGAUUCGAUGUUUAUCAAAUUUCCAAAGGAUUGAGGAAUCGCACCAGUAAGUUUAUUGUGGGAAAGGUUGAGUCCUAUGAUUGCAUGAAGCUCACCAAUAACAUUUGGAAUGUCUCCUUCAAAUUUGUUUCCUGAAAAAUCAAUACUUACAAAGAUUGUAGGAAUUAUUGCAUACGUGAUAUCGAUCCCUUUUGUUGUUGCAUUCACAGAGUCGUAGAAAAACUCGUAUGUACGGGUAUAUGUUGCAAUUUUACCAUCUUUUUCAUGUAUUAAAAUUGUACAGGAAUAACAUUCUUCAUGGCUUCAAAAUUUUCUGCGUAGAAUUUCGGUAUUGGACCACUGAAGUCAUUGCAUGAGAUAUCAAAUAUAAUUAAAUUGGGAAAUGGAUUUCUGUUGAUCUUUAAUUUGAUAAUGGAAAUAUGCAACUUAUUGGCUCGCAAAACCAGUACUUUCAAAUGUGACAAAGUUUGAAGCCAAUGGGGAAACGUGUCCUUUAUAAUGUCAUUACCAAGAUUUAAAACCUCCAGGUUUCUGCAGUUGGACAAAGAUUUUGGCAAAGGACCUACUAAUUGGUUGCUAUUAAGAUUGAGUGUGCUGAAAGUCAUACUUGAAAAGGUAUUUGGCACAGAGCCAUAAAGUUUAUUCAUCUCCAUGUCCAAAACUUGAAGGAAUGGUAAGUUUGCAAGGCACUGUGGGAUCAUACCUGUUCAUUUGUUGUGGGACAAGUUAAGAAUUAGAAUUAGAGUUGCAUUGCAAAUUGACAAAGAUAUCUCACCCCCUAGUGAGUUGAAACUAAGAUCAAGGGAUCUCAGCCAGUAAUGCUUUGAGAAUUGGUCUAUUGAUGUGAACAUGUUUCGAGAGAGGUUCGAAGAUUGUAAUAAAAACAUAUCUGGUAACCAAUUUGGCACUCUUCCACUCAACUUAUUAUUGGAUAGAUCCACAUAGACCAAACUUGGAAAUAUUUCUCCGAAUGAUUUGGGCAAUUCAGUUAAACUGAGAGAAGAUAAUUCCAAUACUCUUAAGCGAGGGAAACUGUAAUUGAACAGCUCAGAAUCAGAUUCAAAGUUCACUGAUAAUCGACUAUUCUGAGAAAGGGAAAGACUUUCCAGAUUUUGGAACUUCGAGAAGAGUUUAAAAUUGACAAAACCACUCAAGUUAUUUGAAGAUAGACACAAGUUAGUAAGGUUUACAAGGUAGAAAAGUUUUCUGGAAUAUUUCCUUGUAACAUGUUGCACAAAAACAUAUACUCUAAGGAAUAUGAGGAGUUGUCCCUUUCAAUGUGUUGUUAUUGAGCCAUAAUGCUGUUAGAUUUGAAAGGCCUGUUAUUUUGUCAGGUAGGUAACCUUCUAACUUAUUAGAAGAACAAUCCAAAUAAGAAAGCAAUGUUAAGUGAAAGAGUGAAGAUGGGAUUUGUCCUUUUAAAUAGUUAUUCUUAAGAUAGAGAGUUUUCAAUUUUGUUAGGCCACCAAACACAUCCGGAAUUCGACCGAUGAGUUUAUUCCCUGAAAAAUCCAUGAGAGUGAGUUGUUUAAGGCUUGAAAGCCAUGAUGGUGGUAGCUCACCUCCUACAUUGUUUCCUGAGAGACUCAAGAAGGUAAGUUGUGUGAGGUUAGAGAAAAACUGUAGGAUUGACCCUUGGAAUUGACAUCGUGAAAGAUCCAAUAUAUUAAGGGAAGUGCUGCAACUCAACUUUGGAAGUUGACCUUGAAGGUCGAAGUUAGCUGACAUAUAUAGCUCUUGAAGUUUUGGCAAACAAAGAGUGUUUUCAUUUGACAUCAUGUUUCCACUUAAACCAGUUCCUUUAAGACUAGUAGUAAUCAAAGAAGAUAGAUUAAGAAAUGAAAAAAAUGAGCUUGGCGCGAUGAAAGACAUGUUUGUAUGGUCAAAAACAAGCUCUCUGUCAAAGAUGUUUCAUUUUGCAGCAGCCUCUUCAAAGUGACUUCUUGUAUCCACUUUAAAUUGUCAUUCAUGGAGAGAUCAAGUGACACUAAGUUAGAAAGGUGUGAGAUACAGGAAGAAACUUCACCUUGAAUCUCGGUAUCAGACAAGUUGAGGUGUGUGAGAUUGACAAAAGCACCAAACUGAGAUGAAAGUUGAGUUGGGAAUAAUCUAUUAUGAGCAAGGUUGAGUGUUUGGAGAUGAGAAAGAUGAAAAAGUGUACUGUUGGGAUGAAUAAUACCUUGAAGGUCAUUGCAGCUGAGGUCUAAGCCAAUUACGUGACCAGAAAUUGUGUCACAGGUGACACCAAGCCAUGAGCAACAAUCUGUACCAUUUUGCCAUGUUGAUACCUCUGCAUAAGCUAGUUUACCACAAUUAGUAUCAGUAGUAUCUAUGUUGAAAGAGGCUUUGAAUUGAAGCAAGGAAGAACUGUCAUCGAGGCAGCAUAUAAAAUGAGAAGAAGAUAUAACAUGAGUGAGCAACAAGAAAAACUGCAAACACAGAAUUAGCAACCAACCCAUGUAUGAUGUAUGAUCAGACUAGUUGUGGAGGAGCUCAAGGGUUUACUAUUUGCUAGAGAGUGCACAUGGAAUUGCAAAUGAUGAAUAUAUAAUUAUAUAGCCAGAUUUUAUCAUUACCAAAAUGUCAAGGGAUCGAAUUUGGUAUAAACAAAGUAUCAUCCACGUGCAUGCAACAGCGGAGACUAAUCUCUCGAGUCUUGUGGGACCCAAAUGAGCGGUAAACUCUCUGUAAGAGUUUUAACAUUACUGCAUAUCCAAACUUGAGUUCGAAUCCGGGUUUUUGGUUGAGCUAGAAGAGACUCAUGCAAUCUCAUAUAAACGCUCUUUGGUAUUGUGCACACAACGUCUCUAAAGUAUAAACUAAAUGGACCAAAAAUUCUGAAAUGGAAAGGUCAAAAUCAGGACACCAUGUAUAUUCAAUGAAUCUAUAAACAUUACAACUAAUAUAUCAUAAGUCUUAAUAAUUUCUAUAUUUGACAAAGUUGUUGCAUAUAAGUCAAUUCUGAUGCCAAAAAUUUCUAACCCCUACGACAUUCCUAAUUGAUUUUAACUUAACUAAUGUUGUACAUAAAGUUAUCUAGGCUACUAAUUUUCUCCUGACUCUUUCUCUGUCUAAGUCUUCCUUGCAAAUAAGUAGGAAAGUACAAGGUGUAUAUAAAUUUAUAUGAUGACUGAUUGACAAUUUUAUUAGUUGAUAGAUAUAAAAGUGACAAGAUCACAUGCAGACGAGAUAUUCAGGCAUUUGCGUAUUCUUCUCUCAAGAGAGAUGAAAAGUAUUCUUGACACUGCCUCUUUAGACUUGUCUGUCAUCUUGUUCAGGUCUCACCAGACCCGGCUGUUUGUUUUUAAAACCGAUCCCAUCGGACCAGCCUGUGUGAUUUUUGUUGUGUAUCAAUAUUCUCAUCAGAGAAUAGUCGAUGGGAUUCAAAUUUCUUGACUCUAGUAGUCACUCUUACACACAGGUUCUCCAUGGAAAAUUAUUCUUAAAAAUAAAUUUAAAAGACUUGAAACAAACCAUUUAUAUUAACUACCUAUGUUAUAUAGAUUUGAAGGGAUUCCGAUUAUAUUUCCCUUGAAUAUAAUUGUACAAAUUCAUUACAGAACAAUAUUAAUGCAACUAUUCAUAUUAUUUGAGUAACUAUACCAUGAUAAAAUCAAAGCAUCUGAAGUAAUUAGAUUUUUUUUUUUUUUUUCAUUUUGUAAUUCUUCCCUCCAACAAAAUUCUUCAGCCUUGGAAAAAAAGCUGAAGUUGGAGUUCUAAAGCCUUAUUCUUAUAUAUUACAUUUCUAUUAAACAUGCUUAAUGGAAGAAGAAUUACAAAGCCUAUUAAUAAGAUACUUCCCCCCUCCCCCAAAAUUUUCGUCUUCAUCAAGUUUUUAUUUCGGACGGUAGACUUCUAUCAGGGAUCAACAGAUUUCUCAAAAAUUUGAGUUGGACCUCAUGGUAUACUCUGCAACAAGCUUGGCAAAAGAUGAUGACUUAUCCUCUAACAAUGUCGUUGGGGAGUCAUACUCCUCAAUAAGUCCUACACCAAUACACAAACAUCAGAAAACAAAACACCAAGGAAAAAAAUAUAUCAAAGUUCAACGAAGAAUAACAGUUUUUAUUCCUAACCUUGAUCAAGAAGUAGAACCAUAUCACUGUCAAGAACAGAAGUUAUUCGAUGUGCAAUGGUAAUGACAGUAGAGUCCGUGAAAUGCUGCCUAAGAGUUUGCUGAAUCAAAUUAUCUGUAGCUGUAUCAACUGAUGCAGUUGCUUCGUCAAGCACCAAAAUCUUGCUCUUCUUAAGAAGAACCCUACCUAAGCAAACCAAUUGCCUUUGACCCAUGCUCCAAUUCUCACCAUUCUCACUAACUAUAAAAGAAUCAACUUCCACGUUAGCAAUAAAUUCAAGAGUAGAAAUACUAUAUAUACUCCUUAUGCACUUAAGUAUGAGCUAAAAGGUACAUCAUUUGGUCUAAAAAGUGUGAAGGGAGUGUUUGUGUUCAACAAAAUUAGAAUACAAACCUGAAGAGUCAAGCUUUCCUUCUUUCUUUCGAACUUCAUCUCCCAGUUGACACUUAUCCAAAGCCUAUUUAAAGAAGGUAAAUCAGUAUUUGAAGAACAAUUACAAGUCUAAUAUUUUUCACAGAACCCAAGUGCCACUGUCAUUGCAAUAUUUUUCAAAAAAAAAACAACAGCUGACCUCCCAUAUUUGUUCAUCAGUGUACUCUUCCAGCGGGUCCAGAUUACUUCUCACAGUCCCCUCAAACAUGGUUGGAUCCUGCGGAAUAAUGCUUAGUCUAGACCUCAAAUCGUGCAGUCCAAUUGUGGAUAUGUUGAUUCUGUCGAUGAUAACUUCCCCGGCAGUAGGUUCAACGAGUCGGAAAAGUGUUUGUAUAAGAGUUGAUUUUCCACUACCUGUUCUACCAACAAUGCCAGUUUUCAAUCCUCCAUUAAAUGUGCAAGUCAG